rnacentral:rRNA from 1 species
UACAUUAGCCAUAUCACUCUGCAAGUCACAACUGGCAACCCACUGAAGCUAAGCAGGUGUGAGCCUGGUCAGUACCUGGAUGUGAGACCUCCUGGGAAAAACGAAGGUUGCUGCUGAAA